AAAAACAGUCAAACAGUCACCCUGAGCACAUCCCAGCUCAUCUGAUCUUAGAAGCUAGGCAGGAUUGGGCCUGGUUAGUAUUUGGAUGGGAUGCUGGCUGGGAGUACCAGGUACUGCAUUUG
rnacentral:rRNA from 1 species